rnacentral:rRNA from 1 species
GGGUUGUGAGGUUAAGCGAACAAGCGUACACGGUGGAUGCCCUGGCAGUCAGAGG